GCUAUGCUGCAGAAGAGAACCAAACGCUGCCACCAGAGAAAGUUCUGUGGAUACUCAGAUCCUUGAGGCACUUGACAGUGUUUGUGUGAAAGCCGAUGAAAACCACAGGGCAUGAUGUGGUGUCAUGAACUCCAGUUCCUUUCUGGAGCUGUUUCAUGCUCAUGGGAAGAUGUCAUGCUUAUCUUACACCAAGGUCUCCACGGAGAGGAAGACAACUAAGUUAGAGACUUAUUUAGUACUGGCUCGAUGAAGCAGAGCCAAGUGGAUUAAGCAAGCAGUCUACGAAGUUCAACAACAGAACCAAGUUAAGAAGACAGAGUUCCGUAUUCUUAGUCCGACAUGGACUUGCUCCUCAUUGACUGCUAGAGCUAUACAUGGCUAUGCAGAAUCUUUCACCUAGAACCCUGCAGACGAGUCAAGAGGGGAAAACGCAGGAACCGGAUGACAGGCAUUGCUUAAUCUGGUCUAUGUCGAAAAAUGCAACGUGACAUGGCAGUAAUGUUAAGAGCACGGUGAGAGCGCAGUUCUUGGCGAGCACUCUUCCCAGAGUUCCAGCUCAGUCACCACACACCGGGAUGAACCGGCAUCCAGCUCUAACUGUGUUAAGGUGAAAGUACUAGUAUUUGUCACACAAUUCAUGCAUUAAAAAAAAUGCUGCUGAGGAUCAAAUGAUAGCAGUCUGCAAAG
ensembl:antisense Gm42982 predicted gene 42982